rnacentral:rRNA from 1 species
UACAGAGGGGGCAAGCGUUGUUCGGAAUGACUGGGCGUAAAGGGCGCGUAGGCGGUUUGUACAGUCAGAUGUGAAAUUCCUGGGCUCAACCUGGGGGCUGCAUUUGAUACGUAUGGACUGGAGUGAGGAAGAGGGUCGUGGAAUUCCCAGUGUAGAGGUGAAAUUCGUAGAUAUUGGGAAGAACACCGGUGGCGAAGGCGGCGACCUGGUCCUUUACUGACGCUGAGGCGCGAAAGCGUGGGGAGCAAACAGG